rnacentral:rRNA from 1 species
UACGUAGGUGGCGAGCGUUUUCCGGAAUUACUGGGUGUAAAGGGCGUGUAGGCGGGUAGGCCAGUCAGAUGUGAAAUACCACGGCUCAACUGUGGGGGUGCAUCUGAAACUGCCGAUCUUGAGUGCUGGAGAGGAAAGCGGAAUUCCACGUGUAGCGGUGAAAUGCGUAGAUAUGUGGAGGAACACCAGUUGCGAAGGCGGCUUUCUGGACAGUAACUGACGCUGAGGCGCGAAAGCGUGAGGAGCAAACAGG